AGCAGUAGGGAAUCUUCCACAAUGGGCGAAAGCCUGAUGGAGCAACGCCGCGUGUGUGAUGAAGGGUUUCGGCUCGUAAAACACUGUUGUAAGAGAAGAAUGACAUUGAGAGUAACUGUUCAAUGUGUGACGGUAUCUUACCAGAAAGGAACGGCUAAAUACGUGCCAGCAGCCGCGGUAAUACGUAUGUUCCAAGCGUUAUCCGGAUUUAUUGGGCGUAAAGCGAGCGCAGACGGUUAUUUAAGUCUGAAGUGAAAGCCCUCAGCUCAACUGAGGAAUUGCUUUGGAAACUGGAUGACUUGAGUGCAGUAGAGGAAAGUGGAACUCCAUGUGUAGCGGUGAAAU
rnacentral:rRNA from 1 species